UCACAACAGUGUUAAGAGAUAGGGGGUUCAGGUAUUUCUUAUUCUUGUUGAACAGAUGAGAAGAUGGAGGUUCAAAGUAUUGAAGAGAAAUGGCCAUUGUCACAAACCUGUUACUUGAUCCCCCUGAAUAUCGUCUGUAAAAGGAUCACAUGAGAAGAUCAGCGAUGACGUCUGCAGAGUGACUCACAGGGAGUGGGAUGAUGGACGCUGAAUGGCUGAUGGAAGAUGCCACAGCUCAAGCCUGGAGGCCCCCAUGGACUGGCAGAAUCCUGGUCCUAAAUCCGAGUUGAGGCACCCAGAGAUGCUGCUGGACGACUGAUACGUGCCUGAUGUGGUCUCUUCGCCAGCUUCUUUUUACCUUUAAUGGCAAUUCCCUAGGGAAGCCAUAUUACAAAGUCUCAGGAUCCUGUACUCCUUCAUACUGCUUUUAACAAUCUGAAUUCAAAAUUUAAUUUCUGUCUUCCUCACCUGACCACAAAGUCCCUAAAGGCAGGGACCAUGUCUGUCUUGUUCACUGUUGUAUAUUCAGCAGCCAAAUCAGUGCCCAGCACACAGUGGGCGUUCAAUAAAUGCGUGUUGCGUGAAAUGAA